AGAGUUUGAUCAUGGCUCAGAUUGAACGCUGGCGGCAUGCCUUACACAUGCAAGUCGAACGGCAGCACGGGAGCAAUCCUGGUGGCGAGUGGCGAACGGGUGAGUAAUAUAUCGGAACGUGCCCAGUCGUGGGGGAUAACGCAGCGAAAGCUGUGCUAAUACCGCAUACGAUCUAUGGAUGAAAGCGGGGGACCGUAAGGCCUCGCGCGAUUGGAGCGGCCGAUAUCAGAUUAGCUUGUUGGUGGGGUAAAAGCCCACCAAGGCGACGAUCUGUAGCUGGUCUGAGAGGACGACCAGCCACACUGGAACUGAGACACGGUCCAGACUCCUACGGGAGGCAGCAGUGGGGAAUUUUGGACAAUGGGCGCAAGCCUGAUCCAGCAAUGCCGCGUGCAGGAUGAAGGCCUUCGGGUUGUAAACUGCUUUUGUACGGAACGAAACGGCUCUUUCUAAUAAAGAGGGCUAAUGACGGUACCGUAAGAAUAAGCACCGGCUAACUACGUGCCAGCAGCCGCGGUAAUACGUAGGGUGCGAGCGUUAAUCGGAAUUACUGGGCGUAAAGCGUGCGCAGGCGGUUAUAUAAGACAGAUGUGAAAUCCCCGGGCUCAACCUGGGACCUGCAUUUGUGACUGUAUAGCUAGAGUACGGUAGAGGGGGGUAGAAUUCCACGUGUAGCAGUGAAAUGCGUAGAGAUGUGGAG
rnacentral:rRNA from 1 species